AUAUUUAGUGAUUGGCAUGUAAACCUAUACAUUGAUUGAAUCAAACUCCAAAUAUGUUUAUAUAUCCUUUUUUUUAAUUAUAGUAUGUGAUGAUUUAUUUUAUUUUAUUUUUAAAAUUUUUUUUGGUAAAGAUGAAUUUAUGUAUUUAUUAUUUAAUAAAUUGAUAGGAAUAUUUAGAAUCAUAAAGAUGAUUUUCUAGUUGUAUUUAAGAUUUGUUUUUUUUUUUUUAGGGUUUUUGGUAACAAACUCAAUAAUUUUCUGUAAACAAAGAAAAACGAUUUCGAUUCUUUGAUCACACUUCAUUUAGAAACCAAGCAAGUCAAUUAAUGGAAUCAAAUUUACUCAAAACAUGAAUGACAUUAGAAUAUUGCAAAAGGUAUUAAGAAAACAUAUAUGAUGAUGUGUUCAAGUGUAUAAGCAUACGUUAGCAAAAACAUUGACCAAGGAAUCUACAUCUAAGAAGAUUCCCUUAUAAAAG
rnacentral:lncRNA from 1 species